UACGUAGGGGGCUAGCGUUGUCCGGAAUCAUUGGGCGUAAAGCGCGCGUAGGCGGUCCGGUAAGUCCGCUGUGAAAGUCGAGGGCUCAACCCUCGAAUGCCGGUGGAUACUGUCGGGCUAGAGUACGGAAGAGGCGAGUGGAAUUCCUGGUGUAGCGGUGAAAUGCGCAGAUAUCAGGAGGAACACCAAUUGCGAAGGCAGCUCGCUGGGACGUUACUGACGCUGAGACGCGAAAGCGCGGGGAGCAAACAGG
rnacentral:rRNA from 1 species